CUCUGGAUCAUAACCACAAAAUCGUCUUCUCUCUCCCUUUGGGUCAUAAAACAAAAGCCUCCUCUCUCCCUCUCGAUCGCCCACACCUUGCCUUGCUCUUGCUCUUUCUCACUCUCCUGCUCUUGCUCACACUCCCGUUCAUGCUUCUACUCUUACUGUUGCUCUUGCUCUUGGUCCAAACUCACACUCACGCUCUACCUCGCUCUCACUCUUGCUCUUACUCCCGACUCUCACUUUCGCUCUUCUCAUUAAGGUUACUCAGCUUUAAACUUAAUCUUAUAAUUAUCAAAGUUAUUAGAUUUGUGUAUGGAGAAAAUGAUUUGUUAAUGAUAUAGUGUAGAAAUAUAAUGCACACACAAUGUUGAUGAAAUGCCACAAAAAAUUAUUUGGUUUCUUCUUUUAAGGUUCUAGGUUGCCUUCUUUUUGUUUGAAAAAAUGUUGCACCUGUGUUUUUUUUUUAAUAAUAAUUUUAUAAUGAAUAGAAAUUAGAUUUGGUCGUUUGAGUGUGGUAGUUUUGUGUGGGUUGGUGUAUAAAUUCAUGUGGUGCGAUAGACAUCAUGCGUGCCUUUGUUUAGAUGCUUAUCGAUUGAUAUCUAUUGCACCUAUGGGCUAUGCUCUGGUGCGAUAGACACCUGUCGCACUAAACACAAAUGUGAUGGACAGUAAUUGUGUUCUUUAUUAACUGCUUUCUUGUAACUUUUACAGAAAGACAUGGAAUCUAUUGAUGGCAAGACAAAAAAAUCGAAAGAAAAAUCAAUAUGACAGAAAAAGCAAGGAAUGGAUAAAAAAUCAUGGAUAUACUAUUUGAAAAUAUAAAUUAUAUGUAUUUAUAUACCCAUUAUAUUUAAAGGUUUAAUUUUUUUUAUUAAUGUAACUUUCAAUAUUAAUUACAGUAAGGCAGAAACUAAACGACUAAGGUUAUUAAGGGUUGAAAAGGUGGAUAAAACUAUAUGUAAUCUAAUUAUGACCUUCUAGAUAUUUCA
rnacentral:lncRNA from 1 species